rnacentral:misc_RNA from 1 species
GCUGCACGCUCACGACAACACCGGGCUGGUGGUGUGCUGAUUAUGUCCCUGCCCUUUGUGCGUGUAUGUGUGUGUAUGUGUUGUUGUGCGUGGAUGUUGCUCAGGUGGUUGGUGUUGUGGUUGCGGUUGUCGUGGAUGUUGUUGUUGGUACCAUGGUACGGUGUUUGGUGUUAGGUGUGUUGUUGCCGUCAUUGCCGGUGUCGCCGUUGUUGUAGCCCUCGAUGGAUCGGUUGG